UAGAAGGUUAGAGUACAUGAUACUAGG
rnacentral:piRNA from 1 species